CGGAGGAUCCAAGCGUUAUCCGGAAUCAUUGGGUUUAAAGGGUCCGUAGGCGGUUUAGUAAGUCAGUGGUGAAAGCCCAUCGCUCAACGGUGAAACGGCCAUUGAUACUGCUAAACUUGAAUUAUUAGGAAGUAACUAGAAUAUGUAGUGUAGCGGUGAAAUGCUUAGAGAUUACAUGGAAUACCAAUUGCGAAGGCAGGUUACUACUAAUGGAUUGACGCUGAUGGACGAAAGCGUGGGUAGCGAACAGGAUUAGAUACCCUGGUAGUCCACGCCGUAAACGAUGGAUACUAGCUGUUGGGGGCAACUUCAGUGGCUAAGCGAAAGUGAUAAGUAUCCCACCUGGGGGGUACGUUCGCAAGAAUG
rnacentral:rRNA from 1 species